rnacentral:rRNA from 1 species
GAUGAACGCUGGCGGCGUGCCUAAUACAUGCAAGUCGAGCGAACGGACGAGAAGCUUGCUUCUCUGAUGUUAGCGGCGGACGGGUGAGUAACACGUGGAUAACCUACCUAUAAGACUGGGAUAACUUCGUGAAACCGUAGCUAAUACCGGAUAAUAUUUUGAACCGCAUGGUUCAAAAGUGAAAGACGUUCUUGCUUUCACUUAUAGAUGGAUCCGCGCUGCAUUAGCUAGUUGGUAAGGUAACGGGUUACCAAGGCAACGAUGCAUAGCCGACCUGAGAGGGUGAUAGGACACACUGGAAAUGAGACACGGUCCAGACUCCUACGGGAGGCAGCAGUAGGGAAUCUACCGCAAUGGGCGAACGACUGACGGAGAAACGCCGCGUGAGUGAUGAAGGUCUUCGGAUCGUAAAACUCUGUUAUUAGGGAAGAACAUAUGUGUAAGUAACUGUGCACAUCUUGACGGUACCUAAUCAGAAAGCCACGGCUAACUACGUG